UCAUGUAGGGAGGUCGUGAAUCUUGCCAGAAAAAUUUGUUUGUAGUAAGUACACAAGUAUCGAACUAUUGGAGACCGGAAUACAGGCGUCGUAUACAUUCCAAAACCAGUGAUCCUUAUAAAGAGAAACAUAGAAAAUACGAGUACUGUUAUAAAUAAUUUUGAAGCACCGAGACGGUCAAGUAGAAAAAAUUAAACUUAUAUUCAAACAGUUAUUGUACCAGUGCAGCGUUAAACAAUUACUAAGGAUUUGGGACAUUAUUCUUCUUUACCUGGCUACAUAACUGAUGCUGAUGAAGAGGAGGUUGAACCACCAUUUUUCCGCCACCAAUAAAAUGUGUAAUUGAAGAAGUAAAAUCAAUAGCAAAUGAGAAAAAAAAAUAGAAUCCAUAUUCUAUGCCGUUACUAAUUAAAGCUGUGUGUUUGGCCUCCAAUGAUAUUCAUGUAUUGAGCAUAAUAAUAUGAAUGUCAAUUCAAAAGCAUAAUAUGUUAUAAUGCUGAUGUACAGGUGUCAAAAAAAAAAAAUUAAGAACGUACUAGAUAUGUGAAAUGUUCAUUCUAAAAUUAAUUUUAACUUGUGAUUUAAAUCCAAUAUUACAAGCAAAUAGGUACUGUAAAUUUAAUAUUUUUUCAGGUUAUAUAAAUAAGUUGCCUGUCCCUAGUUUUCUAGCAUCCUUGUACCACUAUUCCAUUCACCUAAGAUUUAAAUACUUAUCAGUGAUCAUAAAAUAAUCGUACAAAACUCAAUCUUAGUUCUGAUUUAAAAUAAAGACCUAAAAAUGUACCCAUGUUGUCAUUAAUAAAUUAAACAAUUUAAAAAAGGAUAAUGAUAAAAAAAAUAAUAAAUUCCUUAUUUACUUUUUUAGAAAUCUUAAUUUACUACCCACUUUUGACUGCCAGAUCACAUAUGAAUAUCUUCUUCUAAACUACCUUCAAAAUAACCUAUACGUCAUUUUGUAUAGACAAGUCCAAAUAUUCCAGAACAUUUUUCAAUAUUAUAAAUAUUUUCUAAAAGAUUUUCCAACUCAUUCUUUGUUCUAAUAGGCUUAUUAUAUUUGUAUUUUUUUCCAUAUAUUUGUAUAACUGGCACAAGGCUAUU